AAAAAUUUAGUUAAUUUUUUAUAACAUUAGUUUGUCAAACUAAAAUAAUUUCAAUAGAAAUAAUUUUUA
rnacentral:tRNA from 1 species